CUAUACAUGCAGUCGAGCGGACAGAAGGGAGCUUGCUCCCGGAUGUUAGCGGCGGACGGGUGAGUAACACGUGGGUAACCUGCCUGUAAGACUGGGAUAACUCCGGGAAACCGGAGCUAAUACCGGAUAGUUCCUUGAACCGCAUGGUUCAAGGAUGAAAGACGGUUUCGGCUGUCACUUACAGAUGGACCCGCGGCGCAUUAGCUAGUUGGUGAGGUAACGGCUCACCAAGGCGACGAUGCGUAGCCGACCUGAGAGGGUGAUCGGCCACACUGGGACUGAGACACGGCCCAGACUCCUACGGGAGGCAGCAGUAGGGAAUCUUCCGCAAUGGACGAAAGUCUGACGGAGCAACGCCGCGUGAGUGAUGAAGGUUUUCGGAUCGUAAAGCUCUGUUGUUAGGGAAGAACAAGUGCAAGAGUAACUGCUUGCACCUUGACGGUACCUAACCAGAAAGCCACGGCUAACUACGUGCCAGCAGCCGCGGUAAUACGUAGGUGGCAAGCGUUGUCCGGAAUUAUUGGGCGUAAAGGGCUCGCAGGCGGUUUCUUAAGUCUGAUGUGAAAGCCCCCGGCUCAACCGGGGAGGGUCAUUGGAAACUGGGAAACUUGAGUGCAGAAGAGGAGAGUGGAAUUCCACGUGUAGCGGUGAAAUGCGUAGAGAUGUGGAGGAACACCAGUGGCGAAGGCGACUCUCUGGUCUGUAACUGACGCU
rnacentral:rRNA from 1 species